GUGCCCUUCAACAACUUGGCUAUUAUAUACAAGCAACAGAGACUAUGCUUUGCAUCGGAAGUGAAUGGCAUCGUUAUCCUUCUUCAUUUUUUAUGCCUUCGUACAUUAAGGAAGUUCAAUGGAUAAAUGAAGGAUUUAGGGGUCUUCUCCCAUAUCCUUUUAAUUCAAGUUUGGGAGGCAUGACAACUACCCCACCUUAUUUCAAUGACAAGAACAAGGCUUCAAGAUAUCAAACUCUACACCUUCUAUAUGGAGCUAGAUUUGCAAAAGCCAUAUCCAACUCGAGGAAAUGAC